UACGAAGGGGGCUAGCGUUGUUCGGAAUUACUGGGCGUAAAGCGCACGUAGGCGGACCAUUAAGUCAGGGGUGAAAUCCCGGAGCUCAACUCCGGAACUGCCUUUGAUACUGGUGGUCUAGAGACCGAGAGAGGUAAGUGGAACUCCUAGUGUAGAGGUGGAAUUCGUAGAUAUUAGGAAGAACACCAGUGGCGAAGGCGGCUUACUGGCUCGGAACUGACGCUGAGGUA
rnacentral:rRNA from 1 species